rnacentral:miRNA from 1 species
CUGCAGGCUGCCCAGGCCAUC